GUUUCAGUGUUUCCUCUGUGCUGACUGGAGCUGCUAUUGGAGCUUCAGUAAUGAUGAUCUUGUGUGUCAUUAAGUAUCUCUAUAAACGAAAUAGAAACAGCAGAUCCACAAAGACAAGACAAGAAGAUAUCGCUGAACUUAAAUUGACUAACGGAGAGAAUGAAGAACCUAUUUAUUCCAAUAAAUCUGCUGAAGAUACUUCACUCAUUUGCCCAGAAUUCCUUCAUUAUUCCUCCAUUGACUUCACAAACACCCAAAUAGAGUCAGAAGAGAUCAGGGGCAUCUCCUCACUUACUGCUGUCUAUGCUUCUGUACAACAAGACCCUGACCCGCUACCAAACAGCAACAUCUCAACAGUUGAGAUAGCAGACAGUAAAGAAAGUGAUCCAGAAUUGACCAUCAGUACAGACACUGAGCAAGAUCAGGCAAAGAAAACAGAUUUGCAGUCAGAUGAAGUUUCUGAUAUUUAUGCUCAAGUAAGACGUGCCACCCAAAAAAUAAAAACAUAAGCCAUUUUUUAAAAUUUGGAAUUUUGUGCCAUGAUAAAUUUUAAAGAGUCUGAAUUCAAAGGAUUUUUAGAAAUAUUCUUACAGAUACUUUUAAAUCUAAAUAAGGCAUCAGCCAGUGUCAUGUUUUAUUAUUUUUGGUGCUUGAGUGCAGCAAUUGUGAACAAUGUUACACAAAGCAAACAUCAACUGUGUAGGAUUGUUGUGUAAUUAACUUAUAAAGUACAGUAUUAUUCACAUAUUAAAAUUAAUGUAGAAUGAUUUUAUGUUUUUGCUUUACAUGUACGUUGUGUGUAUACUAUUUUUCAUGGUUGAAUUUAAUUAUUUUCUUUAAUCUAUGAUUGUAGGGAUC